GUCGAACGAUAUAGUGGCAGACGGGUGAGUAACGCGUGGGAACGUGCCUUUCACUACGGAAUAGCUCCGGGAAACUGGUGGUAAUACCGUAUACGCCCUUAGGGGGAAAGAUUUAUCGGUGAAAGAUCGGCCCGCGUUAGAUUAGAUAGUUGGUGGGGUAAUGGCCUACCAAGUCUACGAUCUAUAGCUGGUCUGAGAGGAUGAUCAGCCACACUGGGACUGAGACACGGCCCAGACUCCUACGGGAGGCAGCAGUGGGGAAUCUUGCACAAUGGGCGCAAGCCUGAUGCAGCCAUGCCGCGUGAAUGAUGAAGGCCUUAGGGUUGUAAAAUUCUUUCAUCAGGGACGAUAAUGACGGUACCUGAAGAAGAAGCCCCGGCUAACUUCGUGCCAGCAGCCGCGGUAAUACGAAGGGGGCUAGCGUUGUUCGGAAUUACUGGGCGUAAAGCGCACGUAGGCGGACUUUUAAGUCUGGGGUGAAAGCCCGGAGCUCAACUCCGGAACUGCCUUGGAUACUGGGAAGUCUAGAG
rnacentral:rRNA from 1 species